rnacentral:rRNA from 1 species
GACGAACGCUGGCGGCGUGCUUAACACAUGCAAGUCGAACGGAAAGGCCCUGCUUUUGUGGGGUGCUCGAGUGGCGAACGGGUGCGUAACACGUGCGUAACCUCCCCUUGACUUUGGGAUAACUUCAGGAAACUGGGGCUAAUACCGGAUAGGAGCUCCUGCUGCAUGGUGGGGGUUGGAAAGUUUCGGCGGUUGGGGAUGGACUCGCGGCUUAUCAGCUUGUUGGUGGGGUAGUGGCUUACCAAGGCUUUGACGGGUAGCCGGCCUGAGAGGGUGACCGGCCACAUUGGGACUGAGAUACGGCCCAGACUCCUACGGGAGGCAGCAGUGGGGAAUAUUGCACAAUGGGCGGAAGCCUGAUGCAGCAACGCCGCGUGCGGGAUGACGGCCUUCGGGUUGUAAACCGCUUUCGCCUGUGACGAAGCGUGAGUGACGGUAAUGGGUAAAGAAGCACCGGCUAACUACGUG